GCCUGGGUGGCUCAGUUGGUUGAGCGUCCGACUUCGGCUCAGGUCAUGAUCUCACAGUCUGUGAGUUCGAGCCCCACGUCGGGCU
rfam:Felis catus isolate Cinnamon breed Abyssinian chromosome E3, whole genome shotgun sequence.